rnacentral:rRNA from 1 species
UAGGGAAUCUUCGGCAAUGGACGGAAGUCUGACCGAGCAACGCCGCGUGAGUGAAGAAGGUUUUCGGAUCGUAAAGCUCUGUUGUAAGAGAAGAACGAGUGUGAGAGUGGAAAGUUCACACUGUGACGGUAUCUUACCAGAAAGGGACGGCUAACUACGUGCCAGCAGCCGCGGUAAUACGUAGGUCCCGAGCGUUGUCCGGAUUUAUUGGGCGUAAAGUGAGCGCAGGCGGUUAGAUAAGUCUGAAGUUAAAGGCUGUGGCUUAACCAUAGUACGCUUUGGAAACUGUUUAACUUGAGUGCAAGAGGGGAGAGUGGAAUUCCAUGUGUAGCGGUGAAAUGCGUAGAUAUAUGGAGGAACACCGGUGGCGAAAGCGGCUCUCUGGCUUGUAACUGACGCUGAGGCUCGAAAGCGUGGGGAGCAAACAGGAUUAGAUACCCUGGUAGUCCACGCCGUAAACGAUGAGUGCUAGGUGUUAGACCCUUUCCGGGGUUUAGUGCCGCAGCUAACGCAUUAAGCACUCCGCCUGAGGAGUACGACCGCAAGGUU